rnacentral:rRNA from 1 species
CCUACGGGAGGCAGCAGUGGGGAAUUUUGGACAAUGGGCGAAAGCCUGAUCCAGCAAUGCCGCGUGAGUGAAGAAGGCCUUCGGGUUGUAAAGCUCUUUUGUCAGGGAAGAAACGGUGAGGGCUAAUAUCCUUUGCUAAUGACGGUACCUGAAGAAUAAGCACCGGCUAACUACGUGCCAGCAGCCGCGGUAAUACGUAGGGUGCAAGCGUUAAUCGGAAUUACUGGGCGUAAAGCGUGCGCAGGCGGUUUUGUAAGUCUGUCGUGAAAUCCCCGGGCUCAACCUGGGAAUUGCGAUGGAGACUGCAAGGCUAGAAUCUGGCAGAGGGGGGUAGAAUUCCACGUGUAGCAGUGAAAUGCGUAGAGAUGUGGAGGAACACCGAUGGCGAAGGCAGCCCCCUGGGUCAAGAUUGACGCUCAUGCACGAAAGCGUGGGGAGCAAACAGGAUUAGAUACCCUGGUAGUCCACGCCCUAAAACGAUGUCUACUAGUUGUACGGGUUUUAAUUAACUUGGUAACGCAGCUAACGCGUGAAGUACGACCGCCGUCGGGAGGUACGGUCGCGAGAAGUUAAAACGUAACUAAGUAGAAGUUAGUACGGACGUGAGACGUAGACCGAACGGACGACGACGAGGGAGGAGGG